rnacentral:lncRNA from 1 species
CCUGCACCCAGUUCCCCGCGUGUCUUUCUCUCCCGGAACGACGGCACGUUUUGCAAAGUAGGAAAUCCACGUUGGUUCGUCCCUGUUCGCGGAAGCCUAGACUGCGGGUCUCCGGGCCCCGCCCCCGCAGUUAGGGUCCGAGUCUCCUGAGCCUUUGCGGAGCUGCAGCCAUCUCUGAGACUUCCCGUGUUUUUUGCAACCUGCACAGUUUCAAAGCGGACUGUUUGGGGAAGUAGGGCGGCUGUAUCAUCACCCUGGAAAGAACACGGGUCCUACUGAUAAGGAAGUCGGGGAGCACGGAUAUUAUCCCCUCGGCCGUGAAUGGAGAUGAGCCACAUUUGCCUUACGCAUGCCGACAGAAAUCCCGGCGUCCCCGCCCGCACGAGGCACCAAGGGAAGGAUUACACAUCACAGCCCUCAGGGCAUGGGUGCGUGACGAGCUGCUGGCCCAUGGGGGGACCGAUGGAAGCAACGUCUCCAACGUCUGAACUAAGCCACGGUCUCUUGGUCGGAGGAGGAGGAAGAAAUCUGGUGCUGUGUCCUAUUCCAUGACGCGAGCGCGGGCUUUCCGAGGACGAGCGCCCUCCACUCGGCUUCCCCACCAUCCCACGAGACGCCUUUGAACCUGAACCCCUUGCCCCACAUUACUUCCUCCGGUGAAACCGCUCAGUCGCU